AUGAAUGAUUCACUCAGUAUUUCCCCGCUGACAAAACCUUUUUCCAACAUGUUUCAGGUGAUCUGUUGUGAUCCAGGAAAAGUGCCGUGAAGCACUACUAGCUUAAGGAAGUGGCUCAAUAUAAAUAAAUAAAGAAACAUGUUUUGUAAAAUAAAGAUUUCCCAGUGAAAUCACUUUAUUGUAAAUUACAGGGUUUUAUCCCUAAAUUAUGUAAUAA
rnacentral:lncRNA from 1 species